GUUGCCUUCUGGGAACAACAUCCUGAUGCUGUCUGGGUGUGUGAAGCAAAAACUCCAGCAUCAGUGAUUUUGUUGCCAGCAGAA
rnacentral:pre_miRNA from 12 species